rnacentral:rRNA from 1 species
AAACUUAAAGGAAUUGGCGGGGGAGCACACAAGGGGUGGAGGUUGCGGUUCAAUUGGAGUCAACGCCGGGAACCUCACCAGGGGCGACAGCAGGAUGAGGGCCAGGCUGACGACCUUGCCCGACGCGCUGAGAGGAGGUGCAUGGCCGUCGCCAGCUCGUGCCGUGAGGUGUCCGGUUAAGUCCGGCAACGAGCGAGACCCCCGCCCCUAGUUGCUACCGGGGCCCAACGGGCCUCGGGCACUCUAGGGGGACUGCCGGCGCUAAGCCGGAGGAAGGAGGGGGCUACGGCAGGUCAGUAUGCCCCGAAACCCCUGGGCUACACGCGACCUACAAUGGCGGGGACAGCGGGUUCCGACCCCGAAAGGGGAAGGCAAUCCCUGAAACCCCGCCAUAGUUGGGAUCGAGGGCUGCAACUCGCCCUCGUGAACCUGGAAUCCCUAGUAACCGCGCGUCAUCAUCGCGCGGUGAAUACGUCCCUGCUCCUUGCACACACCGCCCGUCGCUCCACCCGAGUUGAGCCUGGGUGAGGCCCGGCUCGGAGACGGGUCGGGUCGAACCUAGGCUCAGCGAGGGGGGAGAAGUCGUAACAAGGUAACC